rnacentral:rRNA from 1 species
GGGCCCGCACAAGCGGUGGAGCAUGUGGUUUAAUUCGAUGCAACGCGAAGAACCUUACCAGGGUUUGACAUCCUGCGAAUCUCUUGGAAACCGGAAAGUGCCUUCGGGAACGCAGUGACAGGUGGUGCAUGGCUGUCGUCAGCUCGUGUCGUGAGAUGUUGGGUUAAGUCCCGCAACGAGCGCAACCCACGUCUUUAGUUGCCAGCAUUUAGUUGGGCACUCUAGAGAGACUGCCGGUGAUAAACCGGAGAAGGUGUGGAUGACGUCAAGUCAUCAUGCCCCUUACAUCUGGGCUACACACGUACUACAAUGCUACGGACAAAGGGCGCAAACUCGCGAGAGCUAGCAAAUCCCAUAAACGUGGCUC